GACGAACGCUGGCGGCGUGCUUAACACAUGCAAGUCGAACGGGAGGAAAAGAGAAGCUUGCUUCUUUUUGAAUCUAGUGGCAAACGGGUGAGUAACACGUAAACAACCUGCCUUCAGGAUGGGGACAACAGACGGAAACGACUGCUAAUACCGAAUGUGUUCCGGAGACCGCAUGAUUUCCGGAAGAAAGGAUGGCCUCUAUUUAUAAGCUAUCGCCUGAAGAGGGGUUUGCGUCUGAUUAGGCAGUUGGUGAGGUAACGGCCCACCAAACCUACGAUCAGUAGCCGGUCUGAGAGGAUGAACGGCCACACUGGAACUGAGACACGGUCCAGACUCCUACGGGAGGCAGCAGUGGGGAAUCUUCCGCAAUGGACGAAAGUCUGACGGAGCAACGCCGCGUGAGUGAUGACGGCCU
rnacentral:rRNA from 1 species